GAGGGCAAGUCUGGUGCCAGCAGCCGCGGUAAUUCCAGCUCCAAUAGCGUAUAUUAAAGUUGUUGUGGUUAAAAGGCUCGUAGUUGAACCUUGGGCCUGGCUGGCCGGUCCGCCUCACCGCGUGUACUGGUCCGGCCGGGCCUUUCCCUCUGUGGAACCCCAUGCCCUUCACUGGGUGUGGCGGGAAGCAGGACUUUUACUGUGAAAAAAUUAGAGUGCUCCAGGCAGGCCUAUGCUCGAAUACAUUAGCAUGGAAUAAUAGAAUAGGACGUGUGGUUCUAUUUUGUUGGUUUCUAGGACCGCCGUAAUGAUUAAUAGGGACAGUCGGGGGCAUCAGUAUUCAAUUGUCAGAGGUGAAAUUCUUGGAUUUAUUGAAGACUAACUACUGCGAAAGCAUUUGCCAAGGAUGUUUUCAUUAAUCAGGAACGAAAGUUAGGGGAUCGAAGACGAUCAGAUACCGUCGUAGUCUUAACCAUAAACUAUGCCGACUAGGGAUCGGACGGUGUUAUUUUUUGACCCGUUCGGCGCCUUACGGGAAAC
rnacentral:rRNA from 1 species